ACAAAAAGCAGACUUGCACGAGUACUAACCUUCAACAGAUUAAGAGCGAGCUUUUUCAUCAUGGUGCCGGUAGAAGAACGCAGAAACGCUUGUGACGAUUGAAUAUAGUGUUGGAGUAUCACACAUACAUCAUAACUACAUCCAAAAGAUUUUUUUAUUCAUGUAUUUUUUCUCAUAUCUUCUAUCUAUCUAAGUAACUUCCGUCGUCAGAAUAUUCCAUUUUCGCAUGCAGGAGGGACCAAGGUCAAGUUCAGGUUGUCUCAGAGUUAGAAAAUGAUGUCUGUGGGAUGAGUUGUAUCACUCUGAUUUGAUUCAAGUCAUCAAAGUUCAUAGAUGAUGUGACAAUGUUUGGUUAGCCGUGAUAUGUUCUUUUUUUGCCUUUUACCUGAUGCUGGAACCCCCGUUUCCACGAUGGACCUGUCGGCCCUAAUCAUCAGUAUAGUGCUGGAGGUACAGCUCACUAAUCCCCAGAGAUUCCAGAUGCGAUAUACCUGUGAAGGGGUUCAUUAAGGGAGGAAGGCCAAGCAUGCCUCCAAUAUCCAGGCAAUGUCAAGAAGAAAAAUGAUGAUGAUGAUGAUGAUGCUGAUGAUGAUGGGACAACUACAACGACGACAACAACCAUCUAGGAUGAAAUAAACUAAAACAACUUUUCCUUCCUGCUCCAUAACGUGCACUUGAACCAAAUGACCUAUUAUCAGACAGCGUACGUUUGUCUUAUAGGUCAGGAGGGAUCCUGGCGAUCACUCAUCCCUGACGCACUACCGACAUCAAUACGGCACAACACGGCCGUCUCUGCCAAUCACACCCAGACUGCUAUCAGCUGAAGAGAAACGAUUGAACCUAAAGAUAAACUGUUUUAUACAUCAUUGAACCUUAUCAAAUGUUAGGUUUGUCCUAGAUAGAAAGAAGCUUCUUUCAAAAACAGCACUUUAAAAGGAAUCGCACUGAGAAUUAAAAUUGUAAUACUUU